UACGUAGGGUGCAAGCGUUGUCCGGAAUUAUUGGGCGUAAAGAGCUCGUAGGCGGUCUGUCGCGUCGGCUGUGAAAACUCGGGGCUCAACUCCGAGCUUGCAGUCGAUACGGGCAGGCUAGAGUUCGGCAGGGGAGACUGGAAUUCCUGGUGUAGCGGUGAAAUGCGUAGAUAUCGGGAGGAACACCUGUGGCGAAAGCGGCUCACUGGACCACAACUGACGCUGAGGCGCGAAAGCUAGGGGAGCAAACAGG
rnacentral:rRNA from 1 species